UCCGGUUUGGCACCGGCAGUCUCCCAUGAGUCCCCGACAUAACUCGCUGGCAACAUGGGAUAGGGGUUGCGCUCGUUGCGCCACUUAAGGCAACACCUCACGGCACGAGCUGACGACAGCCAUGCAGCACCUGUGCGGGCUCCCGAAGGAGGACCGUGUUUCCACGGCUUCACCCCGCAUGUCAAGCCCUGGUAAGGUGGGGAUGACGUAAGGAUAG
rnacentral:misc_RNA from 1 species